AGCCUUGUGCUAGGGGUAAUAUCGCAGCGUGUGAAGCUCUGCUGAUGCGCGAUGAUUGCUAUUUGAGAACUAUUCCAAAAAGUGGUCGUUCUCACGAAUGACCCAAUUUCUGUCAGGUCUUAUGGAC